rnacentral:sRNA from 1 species
GCUGGGCAUGGUGGCACAUGCCUGUAAUUCCAGCUCUCGAGAGGCUUAGGUGGGAGGCUUACAAUUUCAAGCCACCAAUAUUGUGAAACCCUAUCUGGA